rnacentral:lncRNA from 1 species
CCUCAAUUCUAUAAUAUUUGACAAGAUUUAUAAUCAGGUGAAUUCAAGUAGUAAUUGUUUUCAUUGUCAUAUUUAUAAAGAGGCGGAGCUACUACUAUCUUGUCUCGUUUUAUUACGUAGGCAUCUUGUCGAGCUUUUCAAGUCCAAGGUCAAGAUGAGAUACGAUGGAGGCGAACAGGAGGGCCAACAAGAAUCAAGCAUUCAUACAGCUGAGAGGGAAGGACUUCAAGUGUACUUUCCAACAAAUCAAACGGCACAUGAUUCGUAGCUUGCUAGAGAAAGAUAUCACGAAUUAAAGUUGAAUCCGAUUCGGGUCUGAGCUGACAGGAGACCCGAAUUAUUUUAAUCACCCAGGCCGCAUCCGGAGUCCAAAUCAAGCAAACAAGUACUUGUUGGAAAGGUAAUUACAAUACCUUUCCAACGGAUCUGGCCCCAUCAAGAGAUUCGACUCGUGCUGACCGUGACGGACAAAACAAGCUGACGGAUCUGUUUUUCUGUUUCCUAAAGAGUUGUAGUUUGUUAGGAAAGUUAGAGAUAGAGUUGGAUUUCGGCCUCUUACUCAAGGUGGACAAAAAUAUCUCUCCCUCCUCCUUUAUAUACCCCAUGAGCCCCCCCUAAGGAGCCUUGGGUUUUGAUUAGAUAAAGUUUAGCCAUCUUUGCUACUUUCGUGUAAUCGCGUGUGUCGGUUAGACCACCUGUUUUACGGUCGUCAAGACUCCAACUUAUCGUCUCGUUGAGACAUUGGUUUGAUACAGUAUAUUCGCAAUUUCAGAUUGCAUCCGCUAUUUAUCUUGUUCUUCGAUUGCUUGCAGGAACAAAGAGCUUCGUGGUCAGGUUGAUCGUGCCCCCGCGUGAUCAAUAACCCUCUGGAGUUGGUGUAUCGAUUGCUAAGGCGCUGCCUUCUAGGCCGUAGUCGGAUCGUCAAUGUCACCUCCUACCCAAAUCGAGAGUUAUCCAUCUCAUCGAAAGAUCGGGCCACCCCCACCCACAUCACGUGGUAUCAGAGCUUAAGGUUGCUCGGUGAGAUUUUUUCCAGUUUAUCCGUAGUUUAGAUCUGUUUUUACCUAUCGUCCAGAAAAAGCCAAAUAAAAAUUAGAAUUAGUUACCUUGUCCUAGAACCAAUCUGAGCCUUGCAAUUUUUACUUUAGUAUUUGCAUUGUUGAAUCUUUGCUGCAUUAAUCGUGUCGAGUUGCUGGAUUAGAUUGGAUCAUUUUUCAGAUUUUUUCUACUAGAUCGAACUUGCUUUUGGUUUUCUUGUUCUUCGUGUGACGCAGGUUUCGUUCAUCAAUCUUCCGCCGCCAAACUUCCUGCCACACCACCGCCAUAAUCUCCCGCCGCCACCAUAUCUUCCACCGAGUCCCUCUUCGAGUCCUACACCGAGUCCCUCUUUGAGUCCUACACCGAGUCCCUCAUCGAGUCCUACAACGAGUCCCUCUUCGAGUUCUACAUCGAGUCAGCAAGUAAUAGUUUUCAGCCGCGAGUUCGAGUCCGAGUCCAAUAAGGAGUGCUUUUGAAAAGUGUUUCAUCAUAGAUCGAAUUUUGUUUAGAGAUCAAGUUGUUUGGAAAGUAGAAAAAAAAAGAAAGGAAAGAAAAAAAAAGGAAAGAAAGAAAGAAAAAAAAAGGAAAAAAAGAAAGAGCAAGAGUUCGAGUCAGUUUCGGACCCGAGUCAGAAUUUUAGUUUCGGGUGGGUUUGACCCGUGUUCAGUAAAACGGGCGUAUCUUUUGCGUACCAACUCGGAAUUGGACGUUCUUGGACUUUUUGGAAAGCUCACGAUGAGGCGCAUCAGGAAAUAUCCAGGGCGGUGCCCUGCACUUUGACCCUCAAAUUCGGUUUGUAAGGUGGACUUUUGGAACUUCCAAGUUUCUGCAUCCGUUUUCCGGCGUCGCAGCAGCCCGGUGUUUCUCAGUUUUCUCCACCGUCCAACAUCCGUUUUGAGUGAUCUUGCCCUUGCUGGAAAGCUUGUGUCGAUACCCUUCUAACAUAUAUUUUUUCAUAUUUUUCUAAAUUUUUCUUACUGCAGCUUUUGUUGUUCUUCGACAGACCGACGUACAGUUUUACGGUCCUUCUUUUGCGUGAGUUUCUAGGGUUAAAAAAGAAAAAAGAAGAAAAGAAUAAGAAGCCAAACAGAAGGCCACAAAAAGAAAAAAAAAGAAAAAAAAUCCUAGGGAUUUACUUGUUGUGCCAUCUUUCUAUCCUACCUUCUUCAGUAUCUAGGCUUAGAUUAUUUCUGUAAUUCGUUCUUAUCGACUCCAGCAGCUAGGACUAGCAUUAUUGAGCAUAUUUUCAACUUUGCAUUGCUGAUUUGAUUAUUUGCUAUUUCUUGCUACUCACAAAAGCCUCCAAGCUCCACAGAUUCUACACCUAGGUUGGUUUGUUACCGAGGCAUCGAUACAUUUAAUAUUCGGAGGGCUUAGUCACGCCGCUGGCCAUCACCUUCCUGUUUUGCAUGGUAAGAACUUGUAAGAACUUGAUUUUUAGCUUGAGAGUUGAGCGACUUGAGCCACAUCCUAGUAGUUGAUAGGAACAUAUUACUGUGAUUUGUUUCUUGUUUUCUACUAACCAUGACAGGAUUUACACGAAGCAUGGCAACUAGACCGAUGCUAUCCUGUGACCGCGAUGAGUGCUUUUCACCGCGGCCAUCCUCCACGUCUCUUGUUGAUAAUGCCACGGCAACGGUACAAAACAAUCCUUCUAAUACAAUUAAAUUGUGUGUACCUUUCUUUGAGGGGGAAAAUGAUGCUGAAACGUAUAUAGAUUGGGAGCUAGUUUUAACUAAACAAUUCACAUGCUUCCAUGUACUAGAUAGUCGUAAGGUCCAAAUUGCUAGUAGUAAAUUUCGUUUUGAUGCAUUAUCAUGGUGGUGUGAGCUAGUUAGAGAAAACAAAAUACCUCACACUUGGAUUGAUAUGAAGAAAAUCAUGAGAGAAAAAUAUGUUCCUCCAAGUUAUGCUUAUGAGUUGUGUUCCAAAUUACGACGUUUGACAUAAGAUGAUAAAACUGUUGAUGAUUAGUACCAUGAUGAGUUCCAAAUUUUAACCUUGCGAUCUGGUUUAGAUGAAACCGAACAAAGAAAAAUGGAUAGGUUUUAUUGUGGGCUUAACUUUGAUAUUUCUUACAUAAUUGAAUACGGAAAAUAUGACUCUCUAUUGUGUUUGCUUAAUCUUGCUCGUGAAGCGGAGAGGAAAUUGGAGAGAAGGUGUACAAGAAACGUGUUGAGCCUACAAGGUAAUGAUAAAGAUGAUUGUGUUGCUGAACAAAAUAUGACAUGUGAUGAAAUAAAUGAGAUACCCGUUGAAUUUUCUGCACCAUGUGAAAUUGUUGAUUUACAUGCUGAUUUGAGUGCACCUACUGCUGAAAUUAAUUCUUCUAAUGAUUUGAGUGCACAUAUUAAUGUUGAUAUUGAUGAUAAUGAAUCAUGUGAGGAAAUAAUUAAUGUUUUGGGAGAAACAUGUGAUGUAGAUAAAUUUGGUUUAGGUUGUGUCGACUUAAUUACACAUGGAGUGAUUGAGAACGAUCCACCUAUUAAUUCUUUGUGUUAUAUUGCACUUGAUAGUCCCAUGUAUUUGUCGCAUGCAAUGGAUAAACUGUGUGAGUUAACAAUUUCGAAAUCUUUUGCUGUUCAUGGAUACACAAUUCAUUUAAUUGGACAACAUGAUGUGAACAAUAACAUUUUGGUGCAUGAGAUUUGCAUUACUUGUGAUAAUUUUCCUCUCUUGGGAGAAAAGAAAUUUUUGCACAUGCUUAAUCAUUUUGAUAGGACCUCCAAUAUAGGUGUUGAUUAUUUGCCAAAUAGUUAUUUACAUGCUUGUUUGAAUAUUAGUGCUUUGACUUGCUCUAAAUUUCAGCAUAUUGUAGUAACUAAUUUGGAUACUAUUCAUUAUUAUUCUCCAAUAUUGUGAUGGUGUAAUGGUGAGCGGUGCAAACCAAAUACAAGAAAUCGUUUCGCUUAUAAAUGCAAACAAUAUUGUCAAUCUUCUUGCCGGAAUGUUAUUCAUCAUGAUUGUUUUACUAAUUAUCUCACGAGACUUUGUUAUAAAAGAUUAAUUGUGCAAGAAAGGAGAUGCAUAAAGAUGGAUGACAUAUACAUAUACCAUGCACACACUUUGUCUAUUUUGUCAGUCUCUUUACAGCACAAACGACGCCGAGGCGACUUUCCUUUCAAGAAAGGGAGGAUGAUAUGGACAUGCUAACCAUGGAUACGACCUUUGGUACCCUCAAUUCUAUAAUAUUUGACAAGAUUUAUAAUUAGAUGAAUUCAAGUAGUAAUUGUUUUCAUUGUCAUAUUUAUGAAGAGGCGGAGCUACUACUAUCUUGUCUCGUUUUAUUACGUAGGCAUCUUGUCGAGCUUUUCAAGUCCAAGGUCAAGAUGAGAUACGAUGGAGGCGAACAGGAGGGCCAACAAGAAUCAAGCAUUCAUACAGCUGAGAGGGAAGGACUUCAAGUGUACUUUCCAACAAAUCAAACGGCACAUGAUUCGUAGCUUGCUAGAGAAAGAUAUCACGAAUUAAAGUUGAAUCCGAUUCGGGUCCGAGCUGCCAGGAGACCCGA